rnacentral:rRNA from 1 species
GAUGAACGCUAGCGGCAGGCUUAAUACAUGCAAGUCGAACGAGACCUUCGGGUCUAGUGGCGCACGGGUGCGUAACGCGUGGGAACCUGCCCUAGGGUGCGGAAUAACUCGGAGAAAUCCGUGCUAAUACCGCAUAAUGUCUUCGGACCAAAGAUUUAUCGCCCUGGGAUGGGCCCGCGUAGGAUUAGCUAGUUGGUGGGGUAAAGGCCUACCAAGGCGACGAUCCUUAGCUGGUCUGAGAGGAUGAUCAGCCACACUGGGACUGAGACACGGCCCAGACUCCUACGGGAGGCAGCAGUGGGGAAUAUUGGACAAUGGGCGAAAGCCUGAUCCAGCAAUGCCGCGUGAGUGAUGAAGGCCCUAGGGUUGUAAAGCUCUUUUACCCGGGAUGAUAAUGACAGUACCGGGAGAAUAAGCUCCGGCUAACUCCGUGCCAGCAGCCGCGGUAAAAC